rnacentral:rRNA from 1 species
UACGGAGGGUGCGAGCGAUGUCCGGAAUCACUGGGCGUAAAGGGCGCGUAGGCGGCGUCGGUAGUCCGUGGUGAAAGCUCGUGGCUCAACUGCGAGUCGGCCAUGGAUACUCCGAUGCUUGAGCACUGUAGAGGCAGGUGGAAUUCCGGGUGUAGCGGUGGAAUGCGUAGAGAUCCGGAAGAACACCGGUGGCGAAGGCGGCCUGCUGGGCAGUAGCUGACGCUGAGGCGCGACAGCGUGGGGAGCAAACAGG